ACGCUGGCGGCAGGCCUAACACAUGCAAGUCGAGCGGUAGAGAGAAGCUUGCUUCUCUUGAGAGCGGCGGACGGGUGAGUAAUGCCUAGGAAUCUGCCUGGUAGUGGGGGAUAACGUUCGGAAACGGACGCUAAUACCGCAUACGUCCCACGGGAGAAAGCAGGGGACCUUCGGGCCUUGCGCUAUCAGAUGAGCCUAGGUCGGAUUAGCUAGUUGGUGGGGUAAUGGCUCACCAAGGCGACGAUCCGUAACUGGUCUGAGAGGAUGAUCAGUCACACUGGAACUGAGACACGGUCCAGACUCCUACGGGAGGCAGCAGUGGGGAAUAUUGGACAAUGGGCGAAAGCCUGAUCCAGCCAUGCCGCGUGUGUGAAGAAGGUCUUCGGAUUGUAAAGCACUUUAAGUUGGGAGGAAGGGUUGUAGAUUAAUACUCUGCAAUUUUGACGUUACCGACAGAAUAAGCACCGGCUAACUCUGUGCCAGCAGCCGCGGUAAUACAGAGGGUGCAAGCGUUAAUCGGAAUUACUGGGCGUAAAGCGCGCGUAGGUGGUUAGUUAAGUUGGAUGUGAAAUCCCCGGGCUCAACCUGGGAACUGCAUUCAAAACUGACUGACUAGAGUAUGGUAGAGGGUGGUGGAAUUUCCUGUGUAGCGGUGAAAUGCGUAGAUAUAGGAAGGAACACCAGUGGCGAAGGCGACCACCUGGACUGAUACUGACACUGAGGUGCGAAAGCGUGGGGAGCAAAC
rnacentral:rRNA from 1 species